AUAUAUCAGUCGUGGUGCACUGGCUGGAGCGAGAAAUAGCCCAAUGGGCCCACCGACGGAGAUCGAUCCCAGACCGACCGCGCAUCAGGCGAGAGCUUUACCACUGGGCUACGUCCCGCUCGAGCUGUUAUCGAGGUCACUUAGAAUAAUAUAACAGCAGUUGCGUUACUGCAUUAUGUACUCGUACGUACUUCCUGACGGGUCGUAGUCGAUUCUUGUGGGUGCUGUGCAGAAAAGUGUUGGUACCAGAGCCUUCGUUACGAUGGAAGAGCCUGACUUAUUAAGACAGGACAGUGGGCACAGAAUUUGUGACUAUAGUGUUUUUCUAAACAAAGCGAGCAAGAGAAGAAUAAAGAUACCAUUUCCAGACCAAAAAGAAUUGAAAACUACGACAUCUAUCUAAACAAUGUCAGCAAGCGUCGAACAAAAACACCAUUUCCUGACCCUGAAGCAAAUCACAUCUAUGUGUCCACUGGUUAUCCGAAUCCUAAAACGUUUCCCAUAAUAAAUGGACAAUUCAUGAUGAAUGAUGGCACAACGCUGGAUAUAUCUGAACCUGAAAUGAAGGCAACUUUACAGUAUGGCUCAAUAGCUGGUAACCAAGAGUUACGACACUGGCUGAUUGACUUGCAGCACUGCCUACACAGCCCGCCACUCCUGGAUGGCGGAAACGAGCUGAACACCACCGAUCUCAUCAUGACUACAGGAUGCACAGAGGGAAUAGAAAAGGUUACACAGGACCACAGUCUGUUUCUUUGAAGGCAGGGCAGUACCUGGGAUAAGCUCAAAUAACGGGGGUUGGGGGUGGGAUGUACCCAGUCAUAAACUUACAGCAUUCG